rnacentral:lncRNA from 1 species
UAGUCAUCUUCACACCUCUCUCUCUUCAACUCAGAAAUAAAACCCUAGAAACCCUAACUCUGAACAAAACCAGAAGAACAUCGAAGCGAUGGAGUCAAGCAUCAGAUCUAGAAAAUGCAAGCAACGUCCAUCGUAAUCCGAUCUACUUCCACCGUCACAGAUCCGGUUUCCGGCGACAGGUUCCCGGCACGUGCAGAUGGUGGCGGGUCAAGGGUUUUCAGUGGUUUAGUUCUACUAUGCAACUGAAACCAGAGCACUUUAUAAGGCGGUGGCAGGCCCUCAAUCGGCGAUGGUGGCUGCAACUAUUGGUUGAGUUAAGCGGUUUUGAAGAUAGCCCUGCCGUUGAUGAACUCUCAGCCCAUUGAUCAAUUGAAAUUAGGUCCUGGUUAUUCGUUGGUUGGAGAAGGGUCGUUUGUGGAGCAUGGUCAGCUGAUAUCAUCACAUGGCAACCGGGGAUGAUUGUUAGUGCAGUAAUGUCUAUCGCCUGCGUCAAUCAGAACCGUAGCUGAAAUAGAAGUAAAAUAGGCUUUAUAUUGUAAUUAAUCGAGAAAUAGGCAAGGUGGCAAACUUGUAAAUAAGGGAAAUCCCUUAUAACCUUAUGCCUAUAAAUAGGAGCUUUAGGUUUAGAGUUAGAGACUUUUGCCACAUUAGAGCUUGGAGAAGCUAGGUGCUUAGAGAGAGAAACUAGAGAGAGAAAGUGGCAAAACGUGAUUCACGGAGCUUGUAAUCGUUACAUCAUCAAUAGAAUCACGACAUUAGUACGAUCUCGUGUGUUCGGUCACACACGUUCACGGAUUCCGCACGUUGAACGUGUCGUUACGCAAUCGAAUCGGAGCGAAACCGGUCCUAACAAGUGGUAUCAGAGCAGGUGCUCGGUUGCGAAGAUCAAACUCACAGAUUCGUACAAGUUUUCAGCAGAUUCAGAGCCAAAAACAUCCAGAUUUGUCAAAUUCUUCUUAAAUUUCUUGUUCUUCACGUUUUUCUAUGAAUUUUACAAAUUUGAACGGGUUUUUAUGGUUCAAAUUGGCUGAAAUUUUGAUAUGUUGUGCGCAUAUAUCUGAUCUAUAAUCCUACAAAUUUUCAGGUCAAAAUUCCAAGCCGUUUGGGAGAAAUCUGCGUUUUUGUGAACUUUUUGCUGAAACCGUUCGUCAACUUGUUCAUCAGUUCUUGUUCGAUCGAACAGGCCACUCGUUCGAACAGGCCACUCGAUCGAAUAGGAAAUUUUAAUUCGUUCGAACAAGCCACUCGUUCGAACAAGCCGCUCGAACGACUAGCAUUUGGAUCGAAUAGGAUUUUGGUUCGAACAGGAACUUGAAUCGAGUAGACCACUCGAUCGGCCGGCUAAGUCGUUCGAACAGAAAUUGGAACGAACAGCAUAUAUUUGAAUCGAACAGCAUCAAUCGAUUGGCCUAGCCGAACGGCUAGGACCUCCAAACCGUUCGAACAGCAGCAUUCAUUAAAAGCCAUUGACUUUUGACCCUGUUCGAUCGAGUAGCAGCAUAACAUUCAUUAAACACUUUGACUUUUUGACUCUGUUCGAUCGAACAGCAGCAGGUGUAGCAUUUCUAGCCGAACGGCUAGCACCACCGCUACAAUUAACCAAUCGAACAGCAUAAAAAGUUGAACCUUUGACCCUGACCGAUCGAACAGAAGCAUCACUGACAUCACUUUCAAACUUUGACUUGUUGACCCUAGUCGAUCGGCUAGGAUUUCAGUACUGAUUCACCUCCUUAGUCAACCAAUCGAACAGAACAUAUACACUCUAACCGAUCAAUUAGCAAAUACUUUCACAACACAUCAUUUUUUUUUAAGGCAACACAUUUAGCACUUUGUCAACAUAAAAGCAACUUUGAUCAGACAACUUUAUCAGUUGUAUUAAUUGAACCUUAGAUCAUAUAUCGAAGCAUACGUGUCCCAAAGUGCCGCCCAACUUUAAUGAAUAAAUAGUUGCCGCCCAUUAUCAUUAAACAAGCCAUGUGAAGUUCUGAGGUGAAAUCAUUACUAAACAAAGGUGAAAUAGAAAUUUGUGUUCGGCUCUAUUU